CGGAUGUAGCCAAGUGGAUC
rnacentral:tRNA from 4 species